UUUCUAUGUGCUACACUUUCCUAAAAGCUUGGUUGAUCGGGAACAAUUCCAACUAGGGGUCGUUCGGUUACUGGUUAGAGUUAUGCAGAUAUUAGUAACGCAGCCCAGUUAUGCAGGGUUUAGUUAUUCCAUCUUCUACCCUGCAUAAAAUAUAUAUUAAUUGGCUCAUAACUCAUAACUGUUUCAGUUAUGCGGAUUGUAAAUUGGUAACCAAGCGCGUUACUUGGUACGCGGAAUUUUAUACGUAGCAACUAAAAUGCUACCAAACAUGGUACUAGUUAUGCUAGUCUUAAUACAUGAAUAAUUCACUUCCUAACCAGCAAAAGUGCUUACUUACCUUCUAAUGUUUUACAAUGAAAAGUUAGAUUCUUUUUUUUCUUUUUUCGGAGGGGUGGAAAAAAAAACUAGAUUCACUAUGUCUGAUGGUUCAGUUAUGCUCUUUAAAAUUCACCCCCUUAAAAAAUGGAGAGACUUUUAGUCACCUUUCAGCUUAUGAUUGGUUUACAAAUUCUAAGUCAUCUCAUGCUUCGAUGUUUUCUGGUAUUUAGUUAUUCCUAUCGUUGAAUUAUAUUUCACUUAUUU